AUACGUAGGGGGCGAGCGUUGUCCGGAAUGAUUGGGCGUAAAGGGCGCGUAGGCGGCCCGGUAAGUCUGGAGUGAAAGUCCUGUUUUUAAGAUGGGAAUUGCUUUGGAUACUGUCGGGCUUGAGUGCAGGAGAGGUAAGUGGAAUUCCCAGUGUAGCGGUGAAAUGCGUAGAGAUUGGGAGGAACACCAGUGGCGAAGGCGGGUAACUGGACUGCAACUGACGCUGAGGCGCGAAAGUGUGGGGAGCAAACAGGAUUAGAUACCCUGGUAGUCCACACUGUAAACGAUGAAUGCUAGGUGUAAGAGGUAUCGACCCCUUUUGUGCCGGAGUCAACACAAUAAGCAUUCCGCCUGGGGAGUACGGCCGCAAGGUUGAAACUCAAAUGAAUUGACGGGG
rnacentral:rRNA from 1 species